rnacentral:lncRNA from 1 species
CAACAAAAUCCAGACCCUUUUUAAACAUAACAGAGACACCUGCACUUUUACUGUCUUUAUGACUGAAUAAGCACUUAUAUCCCCAUUCAUCCUCCCAGUAUUUUUCAAUGUCUUUAUUGCUAUGAGUUUCCUGAAAACACACUAUGGAAGUAUUUUUACUCCUAGCCCAAUCAAAAACAUCUGCCCUCUUUUUGGAGUUUGAAAAAAGACCCCUCACAUUCAUUGAUAAUAUCGUUACAUUAUUAUCCAUGAUUAUAUCUGAAGUGAUGAUUUAUAAAACAUAUAAGCAAGUUCAUAAGUACAAAUAUACAAUUGUAACAAAUAAGAC